UGCAGAACCAAGCUCUGCUGUAGAAAGAGAGCUGGUAGCAAGGCGUCUCUUCACCCUCUGUCCAGUAAUACACACAAGGUGGCUUCAUAUACAAGGCAGCGUGGGAUCUCUGAGGAAGCCCUUAAGAUGGCGCCGAGGCGCUGGAACGGAAGCCCCUUUCCUUGACCAGCUCUCCCCUCCGAAAUAGGGAUUCCAGAAACGCAGGUUCCUGCCUCUCUGCCCGAGGUCUGGCAGAGCAGGUGGUCUCAGUGUGGUUUGAUGGAGGAGCAAAGGCAUUCCAGAUUCAGAACAGCUUCCUGUUCUGCUCACAGCAGCCUCAAAGUCGAUUGAAAGUUUCUGGCAAAAUACAAAUUAUUUCCUGGGAGGAGGUAAGAGAAUGGAUUAAUUUACUUAGUUUCCUAGUUGAGAAUUUCCCAAGGUACUGGGACUCAGAGCAGAUGUGUCAUUAUUGGUGGGGAGGGGAGGUAAAGGAAAGUCUGGCUCGAUUAUUCUCAGCUGCGACCCGGGACUGUGGCGGGGCUUGCACACACUCACAGCUCCUUCUGGAGACCUCCGCCCGCUUAUCUUUGGGGGCCUGUGGUCCCUGCCUGGCCCACUGUUCUGGCGAACUGCGGCCGCCUAAUGCAGUGCCACCAGCCUGCUGAGACGUACAGUGGCUGCUCCCGGGCUCCUGGCACUCUGAAAUCUGGCAUGCAAUAAACGCAUGCUGCCUGUGGAAGGCAGACAGAUGCAGAAGUUCUCUGUGGUUAGCAGGGGGAAUGGCUGGGAGGCAGCAGUGGUAAACUCUGAUUGUUCUACAGUUUUGCCAACAAGAAUGGUUCUCAAUACGGGCUGCAUGGCAGAAUCUCCAGCAAUUUAUAAAUAUACCAAUUGAAUGUGUACGUUUUUGUAUAUUGUAUUUUAAUAAAAAGUUUAUACACGCAUACAUAUGGCUAGAUAGAUGAUAGAUGCCAACUCCAUCUAUCAAUCAUCUCAUUCUCCAUGAAUGAGAAUCUGUACAGGUGGGGCCUAAACCUGAUUUUUUAAAUCUCUCUCAAGUGACCCCAGUUUGCACUCAGGGAAGAGAACUGUUGCUCUAUGAACUUCUCCAUCAUCUUAAAGAUCCAUGUCCAGAUUACCACCAAGCCAGAAUCAUUUUUAAAAAUUUUAAAUGGAGGGGAUGAAGGAGUGUCUGAGGACAUGCAGGGUCAACAGAGAUGCCCUAGGGCAAUGCCCUGUCUUCUGUAACAAAGUGUGACUGGCCUGUUAACACGGGAAACUGAAGCAUGGUGCUGAGCCUGAGGUGUUGAUGGUACCAGCUCAUGGUUUCUACUAGAAUCCAAGGGUCCAAUAAUAAACACUUGGAAAAUUUCGAUGCAUUUAUUCCAACGCCUUCACUGCCUUUUUUUUCUUUUUUUUUUUUUUGAGACAGAGUCACACUCUGUCGCCUGGGCUGGAGUGCAGUGGCACAAUCACAGCUUGCUGCAACCUCCACCUCCUAGGUUCAAGCGAUUCUCCUGCCUCAAUCUCCCAAGUAGCUGGGAUUACAGAUGCACACCACCAUGCCCAGCUAAUUUUUUGUAUUUUUAGUAGAGAUGGGGUUUCACCAUGUUGGCCAGGCUGCUCUCGAUCCUGGCCUCAAGUGAUCCACCCACCUCAGCCUUCCAAAGUGCUGAGAUUACAGGUGUGACCCACCGCGCCCAGCCCACUCUCUGUCUUAAACCCAAAAAAGAGUGUUAUUCAGAGAUUCAAUCCAGGUUUAUUGAACCCCCACUAUGUAGCUGAUCCAGUGUUGAUGCCAGAUAUACCAUAUGUAUUUGCCUCAUCCACAGAGCUUACAGUUGGGGGCUGGUGGGUGUGGGGGGCAGACAUUCAACAAAGUAACACACAAAUAGAUGCUGCAGAUUACUAAUUUUUAUAACAAUCUAUUUCUUCCUCCCUGAUUUGCCUCAGACACUGACGAAUCUAAUGUGAAGGUCCAGAGUUCAGUGUGCCUCUCGCCCUGCAUGUUUUGGGGCCUUCCUUAGCUCUGAAGCCAGAGAAUCCCAGCUCAAACUCACCUAGCAACUGUGUAGCUUUGAGCAAGUUUCUUAAUUUCUGUGCUUCAAGGAAAUCACAAAAAGUGCUCAAUAGUUCUCUCCACAUAAAUCUUUUUUAGAUUGAUUCCUGGGCUCUUGAGUUUUUUGUUACUACAAAUAAAAUCUUUAAAGUAAUACUUUCUAACUGUUGGCUGUGGGUAUAUGUAAAUAUAACUUAGUUUUGGUAUACUGGUUUUUAACACUUCAAUAUGUCACCAUUAAGCAUAUUAGCUAUUGAUAUGGUUUGGCUGUGUCCCCACCCAAAUCUCAUCUUGAAUUGUAGCUCCCAUAAUCCCCACAUUAUGGAAGGGACUCAGUUGGAGGUAACUGAAUCAUGGGGGUGGGUUUUUCCCUUGCUUUUCUCAUGAUAGUGAAUAAGUCUCAUGAGAUCUGAUGGUUUUACAGAGGGCAGUUCCCCUACAGUCUCUUGCCUGCCACCAUGUAAGACAUGCCUUUGUUCCUUCUUCACCUUCCGCCAUGAUUGUGAGGCCUCCUCAGCCACGUGGAACUGUGAGUCCAUUAAACCUCUUUUCUUUAUAAAUUACUCAGUCUUGGGUCUGUCUUUAUUAGCACCAUGAAAAUAGGCUAAUACAGCUAUCAUCUUUUUUUUGGUAUAUAAUCCUCAUCAAAUUAAGAAAUUUCCUUUCUCAUCCCAGUUCACUUGGAAUAUUGAUGGGUGCUGGCUCUUAUCAAGUGAUCUUUCUGCAGCUAUUGAGAUGAUCAUGUGACUUUUCCCCUUUAAUCUAUUAUUGUGGGUUACCACUGGUGAUUUUCAAACGUUGAAACCAUUCUUGAUCGACAAGAUGAAGCCAACUGGGUAAUGAUGUUUUACUCAGUAAAACAUUUUGUGUAUUGCUAGAUUCUCUUUGGCUAAUAUUUUGUUGAGUAUUUUUCCUAUGUACAUUUUUUGAGAUUAGCCUGUAAUUUUGUUCUCUUGUACUGUCCUCAAGUUUUGGAAAUUUCAAGAUUAUGCCAGUCUCGUAAAACGAGUCAGAGAGUGUCCCAUAUUUUUCCAUUCUCUGGAAUAGUUUGUAUAUUAUUGAAAUAAUUUCCUUUUUAAAUGUGAGAUAGAACUUACUAGUGAGGCCUUUUGGGCCUACAGUUUCUUUUCUUUUUUCUUUUUUAGAUGGAGUUUUCUCUUGUUGCCCAGGCUGGAGUGCAGGGACGUGAUCUUGGCUCACUGCAACCUCCACCUCCCGGGUUCAAGUGGUUAUCCUGCCUCAGCCUCCCAGGUAGCUGGGAUUACAGGCGUACGCCACCACACCUGGCUAAUUUUUUGUAUUUUUUAGUAGAGACAGGGUUUCAUCAUGUUGCCCAGGACGGUCUUGAACUUCUGACCUCAGGCCAUCUGCCUGCCUUGGCCUCCCAAAGUGCUGGGAUUACAGGCCUGAGCCACAGUACCUGGCCCUACAGUUUCUUUUGUAAGAUGUUUGAUCACUAAUGCAUUUUUUUUUCAAUGGUAUGGGACUAUUCAGGUUUUGUUUUGUUUUGUUUUUGAGUCUAAGUUGCAUUCUUAUGGGAGUUAUUUUCAUUGAAUUUUCAAACUUUUGGCAAAAAGUUGCUUAUAAUAUCAUCUUAUUGUCUUUCUAUAGCCUGCGGCAUCUGCAGUAAUGUCACCUUUUUCAUUCUGAGACUGGUUAUUUGUGCUUUCUUUUUUCAUUGAUGAUUUCAUCACAGGCUAGUAGUCAAUGUUAUUAGCUUUGUAAAGAAAUGAUUUUUGGCUUUGUUGAUUAUAUCAUUUAUAUGUAUGCUAUUUCAGUAAUUUCUGCUCUUAUAUUUGUGUGCCCUUUUUAACUUUUCUUUGGAUUUCCUUUGCUGUUCUGUUUCUCCUUGUGAAUUCUGUCCUUCCUUUUCCACAUACUCACUUAUGUCUAUACAUUUCUAAGUACUGAUAUUGCUUUAUGCUACACAUUUUGAUAUGGUUCCUUUCCUUUCCUCUCCUCUCCUUCCUUCCUUGUUUUCUUUUUUUUGAGACGGGGUUUCACUCUGUCACCCAGGCUGGAGUGCAGUGGCACGAUCUCGGCUCACUGCAACCUCCACCUCCUAGGCUCAAGUGAUUCUCCCACCUCAGCCUCCUGUGUAGCUGUGACUAAAGGCACAUGCCACCACACCUGGCUAAUUUUUG
rnacentral:lncRNA from 1 species